rfam:Candidatus Rokubacteria bacterium RIFCSPLOWO2_12_FTLL_71_19 rifcsplowo2_12_scaffold_7591, whole genome shotgun sequence.
AGAGUCAUACGGGAAGGGCCAGGGACCCACACCGGCCCCGAGUCAUGCACGCCCGCCCGUGAGAGCGGGCGUGAAGCGUUGACAGGGGAACGUGCAGGCCGGGUAUUGAGCCGCGGCAGUACCCUACUACAUUGGCAUCGAUGUGCA